rnacentral:piRNA from 1 species
UGGUACGUUUCCUACUCCCAGCUGUGCUUC